rnacentral:rRNA from 1 species
CACCGCGGUUAUACGAGAGGCUCGAGUUGAUGGCCCACGGCGUAAAGCGUGGUUAGGGACUACAUAAAACUAAAGCCGAACAUUAUCAAAGCUGUUAUACGCACACGAACACUAGAAGCUCACAUACGAAAGUAACUUUACUGCCCUGACCCCACGAAAGCUAAGCUA